UGCGAUGAGUCGAAGAAAUCACGCCGCAUUUAUGCGGUCCGCGCAAGCGGCUAGGUGAUGUUUCGAAUGCAGGGGCAAGGUAACACCCACCGGAUAUGCGGGAGCCUUGAUUCCAACGGAUUGUGGAGUUC
rnacentral:ncRNA from 2 species